AGGUGACACUCCGCCAGCACUGUGUAUAAUAAACUCCUAUGCUUGACCUCUACACGGUGUGGAUUUAUGUCCUUCAGUUUGGGGGCUCAUCCGGGAUUCAAGUUUGUGAACUAGUUGAGGAUUUGAGACUGAAAUCCAAAAGAGGCCCUCUGUGCCGGCAACAGUUCUUGGCAUCCCUGGGUGGGUGGAUUACGGUGACGACCGACGCCCAGCACGCACCGGUGACUUCAUCGGGGGCCACGGCGGAGACGCGGUUCGAUCGACCCCAGAGGGCACAACGGUGCAACGCGCUCGGAUAGUGGAGAGGCAGUUGCGGGCAACGGUACACCAAAGAUUUACAGCCUCUUUUGCUGGAUGCCCCGGUCCACUCCCUGCAGCCAAGCGAUUCCGUACUCGUUCAGACCUGGAAGGACGAGCCUCUCCAAGAGAAGUGGAAGGGACCCCACACCGUCCUGCUUGUUUCCCACACGGCAGCAAAAGUUGAAGGGCACAAAAACUGGAUUCAUCACUCUCGUCUAAAAGCAGUGCCCGCUCCUGAACAGUGGACCGUCCAGCCUGCUGAGAAAACUUCCAGCGACGAUCUGGGGCUUAAACUGUUGUUUAAGCGACAAUAAGGUUUGCUGGGAAUGCCCUGUGCUCUCUUUGGACAGCCACAGCGCACUCCCUGCGAGAACUCUGAGCAUUGGUUGUGUUUGUUUUCAGGAGGCUGGCCUAACCUGUUGGCCUGGUCCCUUUUGUUUCUAAUCUGUCUGCUGUUGGUGAUUAUUAUUUUGUGGGAGUUUGGGGACUUGUAAUUACAGCAUGGGUUCAGGUCCAGGGUCUGCCACCAUGUUACUUUUUGCCAUGGGAGCAUUCCUCUCAUUAACUCCCAUUUCCCCCCGAGCACAUGCAGGAUGGAAAGGAAUCCCUGUCAACUUGGAAACAAACACGUAUGAGGCCCUGAAGGUUGCCUUUGCCCGCGAGUUUAAUCUCUCCAACUGUUGGAUAUGUUCCCAGAUCCCUCACCAUUUGGCAGGGUUGCCAUGGAGAGCAGUUCCCCAAAAUUGGUCUGAUAUGUGCCAGGUAUGGCAAACCAUAAAUGGCUCCCAGUACCCGCCACCCAUCCCAAGAAUUGCCCCUGGAUGGCCUACUCUAGCUGCAAACUGUUCCAAGGAAGCCCAGUUUAGCCUCACCAAUUAUCCUUGGAAGCCCCUCUGGAAUAGCGCCAUUAUCCCUCAGCCCAUCAGGCUUAGUGAUGUUCCCCCUGGCCUCCUCUGUCAUGCACAAGGUAGGACGGCCAAGCACACAUGGUUCGCUGGUAACAGCACUUGUCAAUAUUCUUUGACCCUGACCGCUAAUGUGUCCAUUCCGGUUUAUGAUGGCUCCGGACAGGACUCCGGAGAAGGGCUUGCAUAUUGGACCCCCGCAAAGGCUGCACAGAUGGGUCAGGGGUAUAAUGGCUUAGUGGGCAAUGGCCUACUCUAUUACAUAUGUGGCCAAAACGCCUAUAAGUGGCUCCCUCAUGGGUGGUAUGGAAGCUGUUACAAGGGAUUUCUUGCCCCUCCCUUGCGGGUCCUGGCCCAAGCCCCGUAUGGCCGCCCCAGACCGCACUGUCCCUGUACGCCACCCCAGAGCCCACUGGUGAGGGAGACAGACUUGGUAUGAUCCUCCUCCCAUCCUAUGGGGUGGGACGCCUGGCCCAACUCUACCAGAGGCUCUCUGUAUUCCUCACCCAGUUUGCCAAUGACACCCUAGCCAUAGAAAAAAGCAUAAGCUCUGAGCUUUAUCAGCUCCGACUGCUGGCCCUGCAAAACCGCCAGGCCUUAGAUUAUCUUCUGGCUUCACAGGGCGGGGUGUGUGCCCUUAUUGGAAAUGAAUGCUGUACAUAUGUCCUAGAAAAUGCGAAGGACAUUAAUAAGCACAUUUUAUCUGCUGAGCAGGCCUUCAACCAAUGGAAGGCCCAAGAACAGGCCCCCACCAUUUUUGAUUCCCUUUUUAGCUGGUUGCCCAAUAUCGAAGGACUCGGCGGCCAAGUUGUGCACCUCCUACUCACAGAGGCAAUAAUAUGUUUUUUUAUUUUCUUACUUUUUGUUUGCUGUAAAGCCAGCAUUAAUAGGUUUUGUGCCUCGCCUCCCCACACAGUCCCUAUGCAUGUAAUUGCUGAGGCAGCCCUGCCUCUGGAACUGAACACAUUUAUCUCCAAAGAUUAUGAGAAAAUUCAAGCUGGUGCCUUUUGAGUGUUCUCAAAGGAGGGAGUUGUUGGUGUCACUAGGCAUCACCCUAGGUAACUUGCGGGGGUGGAAGACCACGAGUGUCAAUGAAGCCCUCCUGCUCUAGGCCUAAGUGAACCAAAGCUCCUCCAUGUUGAACUUUAAACGACCUAAAAUGCCAGCAGCUGAAAAACAAAAUAUGUAACAGCCAGCUAUCAGUUGCAGCACAGCUCAAGCCGGUCUAAAGCGGUAGUGAUAAGGGGGGGGCUACCUGCUUCUAGCUGAAGGACAAGAUCACUGCAGAAGAAAAUAUUACUAACAAGCUACCAUUACAGCAGCCAAUGUUGUUUCAUGUAAUUGCUACAGGGGAAAGAAUCAUAGAAUCUCAGGGUUGGAAGGGACCUCAGGAGGUCAUCUAGUCCAACCCCCUGCUCAAAGCAGGACCAAACCCAACUAAGUCAUCCCAGCCAGGGCUUUGUCAAGCCUGACC